CACGUAGGGCGCGAGCGUUGUCCGGAAUUAUUGGGCGUAAAGAGCUCGUAGGCGGCCUGUUGCGUCCGCUGUGAAAGCCCGGGGCUCAACCCCGGAACUGCCUUUAAAACUGCAUCGCUUGAAUCCGGGAGAGGUGAGUGGAAUUCCGAGUGUAGAGGUGAAAUUCGUAGAUAUUCGGAAGAACACCAGUGGCGAAGGCGGCUCACUGGACCGGUAUUGACGCUGAGGUGCGAAAGCGUGGGGAGCAAACAGG
rnacentral:rRNA from 1 species